rnacentral:rRNA from 1 species
CGCGUGCACUGGUCCGGCCGGGCCUUUCCCUCUGUGGAACCCCAUGCCCUUCACUGGGCGUGGCGGGGAAACAGGACUUUUACUUUGAAAAAAUUAGAGUGCUCCAGGCAGGCCUAUGCUCGAAUACAUUAGCAUGGAAUAAUAAAAUAGGACGUGUGGUUCUAUUUUGUUGGUUUCUAGGACCGCCGUAAUGAUUAAUAGGGACAGUCGGGGGCAUCAGUAUUCAAUUGUCAGAGGUGAAAUUCUUGGAUUUAUUGAAGACUAACUACUGCGAAAGCAUUUGCCAAGGAUGUUUUCAUUAAUCAGGAACGAAAGUAAGGGGAUCGAAGACGAUCAGAUACCGUCGUAGUCUUUACCAUAAACUAUGCCGACUAGGGAUCGGACGGUGUUAUUUUUUGACCCGUUCGGCACCUUACGAGAAAUCAAAGUGCUUGGGCUCCAGGGGGAGUAUGGUCGCAAGGCUGAAACUUAAAGAAAUUGACGGAAGGGCACCACCAGGGGUGGAGCCUGCGGCUUAAUUUGACUCAACACGGGGAAACUCACCAGGUCCAGACACAAUGAGGAUUGACAGAUUGAGAGCUCUUUCUUGAUUUUGUGGGUGGUGGUGCAUGGCCGUUCUUAGUUGGUGGGGUGACUUGUCUGCUUAAUUGCGAUAACGAACGAGACCUUAACCUGCUAAAUAGCCCGUAUUGCUUUGGCAGUACGCUGGCUUCUUAGAGGGACUAUCGG